rnacentral:rRNA from 1 species
UACGUAGGGUGCGAGCGUUAAUCGGAAUUACUGGGCGUAAAGCGUGCGCAGGCGGUUUGCUAAGACCGAUGUGAAAUCCCCGGGCUCAACCUGGGAACUGCAUUGGUGACUGGCAGGCUAGAGUAUGGCAGAGGGGGGUAGAAUUCCACGUGUAGCAGUGAAAUGCGUAGAGAUGUGGAGGAAUACCGAUGGCGAAGGCAGCCCCCUGGGCUAAUACUGACGCUCAUGCACGAAAGCGUGGGGAGCAAACAGG